rnacentral:rRNA from 1 species
GACGAACGCUGGCGGCGUGCUUAACACAUGCAAGUCGAACGGAAAGGCCCUGCUUUUGUGGGGUGCUCGAGUGGCGAACGGGUGAGUAACACGUGAGUAACCUGCCCUUGACUUUGGGAUAACUUCAGGAAACUGGGGCUAAUACCGGAUAGGAGCUCCUGCUGCAUGGUGGGGGUUGGAAAGUUUCGGCGGUUGGGGAUGGACUCGCGGCUUAUCAGCUUGUUGGUGGGGUAGUGGCUUACCAAGGCUUUGACGGGUAGCCGGCCUGAGAGGGUGACCGGCCACAUUGGGACUGAGAUACGGCCCAGACUCCUACGGGAGGCAGCAGCGGGGAAUAUUGCACAAUGGGCGGAAGCCUGAUGCAGCAACGCCGCGUGCGGGAUGACGGCCUUCGGGUGGUAAACCGCUUUCGCCUGUGACGAAGCGUGAGUGACGGUAAUGGGGAAAGAAGCACCGGCUAACUACGU